rnacentral:tRNA from 1 species
GCCGAAGUGGCGAAAUUGGCAGACGCGCUAGCUUCAGGAGCUAGUGGGGGACAACUCCAUGGAGGUUCGAGUCCUCUCUUCGGCA